AAGUAGCAGCAUUUUGUGAUGUCUUGGAAAAGAAGAUAAAGAGAAAGGAGAUGGCAGACGGAAUAGCCUUGACAUUCCCAGACAAUGGAAAGAUGGUGACUGUGGUGUAUGAAAAUCAUGGGGGAAUGUCAUUUUCUAGGGCCUUUCAUCAUACAGACACAGUACAGAGUGUGUACACAUUUAUUUGUCAGAUUAUUGACCCAGAAAUUCUCCCUUCUGUAUUCCAUUUGGAAUGCAUUUCACCAACCACCUGUACAGAAAGA